rnacentral:ncRNA from 2 species
CCGUAUCAAGCGCGGGACGGUGCCCCGCAAGGGGAUCAAAAGGGAACACGGUGACGGGCAUUGCGCCCCAAUCCGAGGCUGCCCCCGCAACUGUAAUCGGCAAGCCGAAGGCCUUGAUACCACUGGGAAACCGGGAAGGUGGCCUGAGGCGGAGAGCCGAGAGCCAGGAAACCUGCCGUCGAAAGUGCCGCAUC